CGUGCUUACAGAUUAGUUAUGUAUAAAGUAUAAAGACAGACUGCCUGGACUCAAUGUGAUAAAUCUCUGAAUAUGAGAGGAAAAAAAUUGUGUACAAAACAGCAAACGUAAGUUGUGGGGAGUCUUGUCUAAUGGGACCAGCAAAUGUUUCAGCCAAGACAUUGAUCAUACCAAGCCUUGAUAACAAAUGCUGGAUCUUAAUGGGUCUUCCCUCCGGGAAAAACUAAUUCAAUCAGAGGAAAUAAAAAUGGAUCACACUUGCUUCUUCUCUCAAUUUUACAGUGUUAACUGGCAGCUCCAGGGGUGAGCCCAAAAUAAUUCCACACACAGCUGUAACAAAGUAGACAGCACCAUGUAACAAUUGGGUCUCCAUUUCUUAUCACUAUGGACAUGGACAUCUUAGACCACAGUGCUAUAGGCAUUUGCUCCCUAAACUCACUGCUGAUGCUCGGAACAGUUUUUGUUGAGGCGACUGCAAACAUGGCGGAAGCAGCACAGCGGACCGGUCGGUGAUUAACGGUGUGAGGCACAGUCCAAUUCCUUCAUUAACAUUUGGCGUUCCAAGGCAGAGGUUUCAAAGUGUUUAUAGUCAAAGAAAUCCUUCUUCAAACAAAGUCUAAUGCAGAAACCCAGUACAUCAAACAGAAGAGUGAAGGCGCCCUGUUUGAGGGGAUCAUGGUGGAAAAGAUGGGGAUGGGAUGGAGGGGUGGGGAGCGCUACUUAAAAUGGGUUGCUGCCCUAGGGGCACCUCGGCAGCCCCUGAGAUUCUAAGGAGCAGUUUAAGAACCUCCAGUGGGAGGGGUUUAUCACAUUCUGUGCACGAUGCUUUGGAAUGUUAACCAAAAAUAUCACAAAUUUAUAAAUUGUGAGGAGAGGAGAUUUUAUUUCUUGUAAAGGGUUACAGCCUGCAAGGUGGCCAUCCUGCAGGCUCAGAAGUGUGCCUCUGGCCAAGACCGGAGUCAGGCACUUCGAAGGAGGAGGGGCUGGGACAGAAGCUUCAUGCUGGACAGGGUGGCCAAACAUACGUAUUCAACAGGUUACAGGAAGAACUACGAAUAUUCAUGAAGGUAGUCCCGACACAUGCAUAUUGAACAAACAUGCAUGUAACAUACAACCCAGGUUCACUUUGGGGUGGAGAUUUAACAUUUAAAUGUAUUAAAAUUAGGCCCCAUACCUCAAAAGGUCUUUUCAGGACAUGAAGGCGGAUGAAUGUACUUUCUGCAAACCAGCCAGAACCAGUCCAUGGCCGGUGGUCUCUUAUCAGGAGAAAGUUACUGGAGUCAGUCUCCCAUCCAAUCAAAGCUGUAGUUACGGCUGGUGCAACAGGGGUCAGUUACUCAGCGUCCGUGAGCUGGGUUACCGAGGAGACCUCAAAUCAGGGUGGAGAAGGCCGAUGCUCAGCAUAUUUCAGAGGAAGCUGGCACCAGGGAUGAGGGAAUCUGCCCAAGCAUGAGUCACCUGGAAUAUUAAACCAGAACCAACACACAAAUGAUCUGUGCAAAGAGGCAGCACCAUUGAAGUGUGUUUGACAGACAGAACUACUGUUUUGAAUCAACCCUCUGAGAUGUCUAAAUCAGCCUGUCAGACUUUGCUCCCUCUAUCACGUUUCCCAAGAAGAGGAUCAGAGAUAAAGAGAAAUAUGGAAAUUUGGAGUAAAAGAAUACUUUCACCACCUUGGACAUUGUCUCCUGCCUUUCUGGACAUCCACACAGCCCUGUGAUAUGCCUUGGAGCUGAGUUUUACCUCUUUGUGUGAUAUUUCUUUCCUGGGAAAGGCUCACACCACCUUGGAGCUUUGCAAUUUCGGCUUGUAGGUCCUCACUUAUAAAUCCAUUCACUCCCAGAGUCUACAUUGAAAUGAUUUCUUUUGCUGUGUCUCCACUGCUGGCUGUAGCCCCUUGAAGGAGGGAGCUGGCUUUACCAUGCCUGGCCUUGCAUAAAGUGCAACCUGAUGCUUAAUACAUACUGACUAGGUAAGCACAACCACUUCCAGAGCUAAUUCCAGCCUUUUCUCCUGCUCCCUGAUAACUCUACCUUCAUACCAGGACAGCAUUCUCAGAAAUCAUUUUAACCACGAAGACUUUUGUUCAAAUGAAACAGAAUAAGUAUAAACUAGAAAAAGUGCAAAUAUAUAGACAACUGUUAUUUUUUCUAAGUAAUCACCCAAACCCUCACCUCAUCUAUUAACCAAAAACUCCAGUGUGUUUCAUAUGAAGCCUCCCUUCCGAAAGAAAAUAAUCACAAACAACAACAACAACAACAACAACAACAACAUAUCUUCUAGGACCCCAGGGGUGACUGCCCAGAGUCUCAGCCUGGCUACCUGCUGGGCCCCUGCAUGGCUGCUGCAGCUGGACUUUGGAGAGCACAGUGGACCUUCCCCACUGCUGCCAGGAGCCUUCCCAGGGAUGAAUUCCUCCUCUGACGAACAAGGAUUUUGAGACAAGAGAGAUCCCCUUGGCCAAGGAUGCCCCAACCAGGGCUCACAAGGCCGCUGUUCUGAGUGUUCCACUUGGUUCCCAACCCCAGCUGGCCCCAACAGGCUUUGGAUGAAGAGAAGUGGUUGGAAGGAGGGAAGUGGAGCAUCAUGAAUGGCUGGACAAAUGAACACAGCACCUGCCAUGUGCCAGCCCUCAGAUUGCUGCAGAGGGCACCUGAAGCAUGAUUUUGCCUUACCUUAAAAUGUCACCUGUAACAGAUCUACGAGUCCUCUGCCUUAUCCUCUCGGUCCCAGGCCCACAAAGACUCUCCAUAGCCCCUGCUGCGAGGGCUGCCUCGAGGUGCACACUCAUGGCCAAGGACUGACAGUUAUGAGGGCAUAAACCCUGCAGCUUUCCUGCCCCCUGAUCAGACACCUGUGGGCAUAAGCCUCACUGUCCAGAGCUCCCCGUGGGAUUGAGUGGGCAUAACCCUGCCUGGGUCUUUGUUGAUAUUGCAGCUGGUUGGGCUUUCAUCCCUCCUCACUCCCCAACAGUGGGGUUUUCUUGUCAAUGCUCUCUAAGAAACUCCUUUGAGAUGUCGCCUCAGGGUCCACUUCUGAGGAAACCCAGACUAAGACAGUGCUAUUUUGAUUCCUCAUAAAUAUUUUCAAUCCUCCAAUUUUGAUUCAUGAAACUCAGAAAAUGAAUCUUAAGUAAAUGUCUGCUAUUGUCACAUCCCAUGUGAUCUCUAGUUUUACUUUCUUAAGGAUUUUCAUGGAAACCCUGCCUCGAGGCAGAAUUACAAGACGAGUGAUAUUGAAAAGGAGACAAUCUAUUAUCCACAUGACUGUUUUAACCAAAUUACCUUCUAAGUUGUGACACAGGGUCCCUCAAAAUUUGAGAAAGAAUUUGAGUUCUUGUCAUCUGUAUUAGUUCACCGAGAAUGAAUCCUCAAAUGAUAAAUGAAGGGGUAAGAAGAUGUGUACAAAUGCAAGGCUGCCCUCUGAGCCCCACAGGGUGGUGUCUGCCCUGUACCAAGAGACCCCCUCACCAGGGCCUGCCUCUGCAGCCCCUGUGAUCACCUAGCAAAUCCACCAUCCCCCACCACAGACUGUCUUUAUUAGAUAGAAGUGAAGGCGCAGCAGAGGGGAGCAGGUCUUUCUCCAGCCACUGCACGCAUAUGUGAUCUUUGACCUCAUCCCCUGUGCCACCCUGAAGCUCAAGAGAGGCCCAGAUGCCAUUGAUUUUCAUGUGCUGAUGUCGCUUUGGUACAACAGUGCCCUCGAUAUAUACAAUUCAUGAUUUAAAAAAAAAAUCAAGGCUAAAUUUAUAAGAUGAAUUUGCCUAACUCUCUGGUUUUUUAAAGCAUAUUACAGUACUUUUAUUGUUGCCAGGAAAGCUGUUGACUUAGGCUUCCUGGUGAUGCCAUGGAGGUGGGUGAGUUCGUCCAGAGAAGGUAAAAGCUAUAAGAGUUCAUUCUUUUGAGCUUUUAUACUUAACGCUCUGUGAUGUAAAAUUUGUAGCAAAUUCCCUGUACGUGUUUUUCUUCAGAGUACAUGUGACACAUUUCCUGAUACCUGCUAAAAGUUGAUUUUUAACAGAGUAAAACAUUUUGGAAGAAGGUAGCAUGGAGUGUCGUGUAAAACUGCACUCUAGACAUCCACACCUGCUGCUCUGAGGUGUGUAUUCUAUUUGAUUAUUGAAGUAGGGUGGAGGUGUUUGUUAAAUAUUUGGAGACAUGUGAUGCUUAGGAUGUGUUUGUUUUGUUUUUACAUAUAUCCCUGUUUUACAAGGCAAAAAGAUUUUUUAGUAUCUCCAAAUUAUUGUUUUUCUCCAUUCUCUUCACCCAAUUUCUUUUUCCACUACUUUUUUUCAUUUAAUCCUGCCCGUAAUCUGAUAUACGGACCACCAAAUCAUCUCCAUUGCAAAUCACCUGAGCUCGCUGACUUUCCAGCCAACAUAUGGACAGCCACUUGCCCCUUUUACCCCCCACACACAUGGUGACGGGGCCAUUGUUUUAUGGCCCAGUUCUGGAGGACAUUUCCUCAGUCAUCAUUCCACAGGCUUUCAACGGGUCUCUGAGAAAUAUGCUCAUCUUCUGGAAGGAUAAUUUUUUUUUCUCUUGUGAUAGCCUGAACAUCAGUCUUUGGAUAGUAAUUGUUGUGAUUUUUAUGAUUAACAUAUCUGGCAGCUCAUCCCUUUAUUCACUUGCUUAUUAUUCAUGCAACAGGCCUUUAUGAGUUUGCUGCAUAUCAUUAUUAGACUUUACAAAUGGCUGCCAAAAAUGACCAGAAAUCUUGGGGGAUGACAGCACCAAAUAGCUCAUAGGAAAAGAAUAGGAAGUGUGAAUUGAUCACCUUCCUAACACUUAGGGGUAAACCAGAGAGUUAGCCAAAGAAAAGAAGAAAUGAAGAUAAACCUAGAAUCGCAUCCCUCUUCAGAUUUGAUAUACAAGAGACCCUCUUAGCCCAUCUCCACCCAACAGGCCAGCUGGACCAAUCAUCCCUCAUGAUUUAUUGCCCUGGAAAACACACAGACUCAGGC
rnacentral:lncRNA from 1 species